GUCCCAGUGGUGAAAUGGUAAACACAUUGGGUUUAAGCCCCAACGCCUUUGGCUUGUAGGUUCGAGUCCUAUCUGGGACA
rnacentral:tRNA from 1 species